GACGAACGCUGGCGGCGUGCUUAACACAUGCAAGUCGAACGGAAAGGCCCUGCUUUUGUGGGGUGCUCGAGUGGCGAACGGGUGAGUAACACGUGAGUAACCUGCCCUUGACUUUGGGAUAACUUCAGGAAACUGGGGCUCAUACCGGAUAGGAGCUCCUGCUGCAUGGUGGGGGUUGGAAAGUUUCGGCGGUUGGGGAUGGACUCGCGGCUUAUCAGCUUGUUGGUGGGGUAGUGGCUUACCAAGGUUUUGACGGGUAGCCGGCCUGAGAGGGUGACCGGCCACAUUGGGACUGAGAUACGGCCCAGACUCCUACGGGAGGCAGCAGUGGGGAAUAUUGCACAAUGGGCGGAAGCCUGAUGCAGCAACGCCGCGUGCGGGAUGACGGCCUUCGGGUUGUAAACCGCUUUCGCCUGUGACGAAGCGUGAGUGACGGUAAUGGGUAAAGAAGCACCGGCUAACUACGUG
rnacentral:rRNA from 1 species